CAUGUUAGGUUUUUUAGAAUAAUAUAUAAUUGUCUAAAUAAUUUACAAUUAAUUUGAAUUUGCUAGAAACAGAAAAAUAUUACAAUGGUUUAAUUGCUUAAGUAAAGUUUAUUGGUAUUAAAUUAUUUGCUUUUUUUAAGUCAUUUAAAUAGGAAUAUAAUUAAAUACUUAAUUAUUAUAAACCAAACAGUAUAGGUUAGUUAUACAUAUAAUAAUUAAAUAUAAUUUCGAUAAAAUUACAUUUUUUUAAAAAAAUAUUAUUUCUACGCAAUACUUAAUUACAAAUUAUAAAAGAACUUUAAAACUUCUAUACAGAGUUAAUAUUACACUAUAUAAUAAUAAAAUUACUAAUAUAGGUAUUAUAAUUGUGUUUAAAUAUCAAUGAAAUAAACUAUCAAUAUAAUUUUUGUUAGUAAGUAAUCCAUUUAAUAAAAUAAAAUAAAUUCAAACAAGUAUUAUAAAUAUAAAGUCGGUAAUAUAAAAUUAAAAAACAAAAUUGGUAAAAUAUUUUGCUUAUAAAUAGAUUAAUAUAAUAAUAACACUACUGUGAAUGUGUGCAAUUACUAUCUAAUAUAUUAUAACAAAAAAUACCGGGUAUUCCAAUAUAAUAUUGUAUUCAGACAACUAGGUGUCAAAACAACUUAAUUGAUUAUUAUAAUAAUAUUUAGUUAUUGCCGUGAAUUUCACAAUGUAAUUUAUAAUCUAAUAAUAAUAACAAUAAUAAUAAUAAUAAUAAAUACAACAAUAACAAUAAUAAUAAAAAUAAUAAUAAUAAUGGUAAUAAAAUAUUGUAUAUAACAAGAAAAUAAUAUCUCUAAAUAAAUUUAUUUUAAAAUAAAUAAUUGAUUUAUGCUAAUAGAUUUAUUUAUAUUACAGUGAACUCUGCUAUAUUAAUAAUUGAAAUAGUAUCCUAUUAAAAUUUAACCAUGUCCAUUAAUUUUACAUGGAGAUAUGAUUGAGAGGCUUUAAAUGUAGAUAUUUUAUACAUUUUAAUAAUUAAAAUUUAAUUUAUAAAAAACUAUUUUUUUUUUAAAAAAUAAUUUAUUAGAAGAUAUUAUUUUGUUUGUGUCAGAGAUAUUUUUAUCAUAAAUAUUUGGAUGCAGUGUUCAAUUCAGCAAU